GGGUUAGGGUUAGGGUUAGGGUUGGAGCUAGGGUUAGGGUUAGGGUUAGGGUUGGAGUUAGGGUUAGUGUUGGAGCUAGGGUUAGGGUUGGGCUUGGAGCUAGGAUUUUUCUGAGUGCACUGAACCAACUCCCGAGUCUCUAGGACAUUCCUAAAAAAAUUUGAUUUUUCCCAUAGGAAUGCAUGGGUUAGGGUUAGGGUUAGGGUUGGAGCUAGGGUUAGGGUUAGGGUUAGGGUUGGAGUUAGGGUUAGUGUUGGAGCUAGGGUUAGGGUUGGGCUUGGAGCUAGGAUUUUUCUGAGUGCACUGAACCAACUCCCGAGUCUCUAGGACAUUCCUAAAAAAAUUUGAUUUUUUUCCCAUAGGAAUGCAUGGGUUAGGGUUAGGGUUAGGGUUAGGGUUGGAGCUAGGGUUAGGGUUAGGGUUAGGGUUGGAGUUAGGGUUAGUGUUGGAGCUAGGGUUAGGGUUGGGCUUGGAGCUAGGAUUUUUCUGAGUGCACUGAACCAACUCCCGAGUCUCUAGGACGUUCCUAAAAAAAUUUGAUUUUUUCCCAUAGGAAUGCAUGGGUUAGGGUUAGGGUUAGGGUUGGAGCUAGGGUUAGGGUUAGGGUUAGGGUUGGAGUUAGGGUUAGUGUUGGAGCUAGGGUUAGGGUUGGGCUUGGAGCUAGGAUUUUUCUGAGUGCACUGAACCAACUCCCGAGUCUCUAGGACGUUCCUAAAAAAAUUUGAUUUUUUCCCAUAGGAAUGCAUGGGUUAGGGUUAGGGUUAGGGUUGGAGCUAGGGUUAGGGUUAGGGUUAGGGUUGGAGUUAGGGUUAGUGUUGGAGCUAGGGUUAGGGUUGGGCUUGGAGCUAGGAUUUUUCUGAGUGCACUGAACCAACUCCCGAGUCUCUAGGACAUUCCUAAAAAAAUUUGAUUUUUUCCCAUAGGAAUGCAUGGGUUAGGGUUAGGGUUAGGGUUGGAGCUAGGGUUAGGGUUAGGGUUAGGGUUGGAGUUAGGGUUAGUGUUGGAGCUAGGGUUAGGGUUGGGCUUGGAGCUAGGAUUUUUCUGAGUGCACUGAACCAACUCCCGAGUCUCUAGGACAUUCCUAAAAAAAUUUGAUUUUUUCCCAUAGGAAUGCAUGGGUUAGGGUUAUGGUUAGGGUUAGGGUUGGAGCUAGGGUUAGGGUUAGGGUUAGGGUUGGAGUUAGGGUUAGUGUUGGAGCUAGGGUUAGGGUUGGGCUUGGAGCUAGGAUUUUUCUGAGUGCACUGAACCAACUCCCGAGUCUCUAGGACAUUCCUAAAAAAAUUUGAUUUUUUCCCAUAGGAAUGCAUGGGUUAGGGUUAGGGUUAGGGUUGGAGCUAGGGUUAGGGUUAGGGUUAGGGUUGGAGUUAGGGUUAGUGUUGGAGCUAGGGUUAGGGUUGGGCUUGGAGCUAGGAUUUUUCUGAGUGCACUGAACCAACUCCCGAGUCUCUAGGACAUUCCUAAAAAAAUUUGAUUUUUUCCCAUAGGAAUGCAUGGGUUAGGGUUAUGGUUAGGGUUGGAGCUAGGGUUAGGGUUAGGGUUAGGGUUGGAGUUAGGGUUAGUGUUGGAGCUAGGGUUAGGGUUGGGCUUGGAGCUAGGAUUUUUCUGAGUGCACUGAACCAACUCCCGAGUCUCUAGGACAUUCCUAAAAAAAUUUGAUUUUUUCCCAUAGGAAUGCAUGGGUUAGGGUUAGGGUUAGGGUUGGAGCUAGGGUUAGGGUUAGGGUUAGGGUUGGAGUUAGGGUUAGUGUUGGAGCUAGGGUUAGGGUUGGGCUUGGAGCUAGGAUUUUUCUGAGUGCACUGAACCAACUCCCGAGUCUCUAGGACAUUCCUAAAAAAAUUUGAUUUUUUCCCAUAGGAAUGCAUGGGUUAGGGUUAUGGUUAGGGUUAGGGUUGGAGCUAGGGUUAGGGUUAGGGUUAGGGUUGGAGUUAGGGUUAGUGUUGGAGCUAGGGUUAGGGUUGGGCUUGGAGCUAGGACUUUUCUGAGUGCAAUGAACCAACUCCCGAGUCUCUAGGACAUUCCUAAAAAAAUUGAUUUUUUCCCAUAGGAAUGCAUGGGUUAGGGUUAUGGUUAGGGUUAGGGUUGGAGCUAGUGUUAGGGUUAGGGUUAGGGUUAGGGUUAGGGUUGGAGUUAGGGUUAGUGUUGGAGCUAGGGUUAGGGUUGGGCUUGGAGCUAGGAUUUUUCUGAGUGCACUGAACCAACUCCCGAGUCUCUAGGACAUUCCUAAAAAAAUUUGAUUUUUUCCCAUAGGAAUGCAUGGGUUAGGGUUAUGGUUAGGGUUAGGGUUGGAGCUAGGGUUAGGGUUAGGGUUAGGGUUGGAGUUAGGGUUAGUGUUGGAGCUAGGGUUAGGGUUGGGCUUGGAGCUAGGAUUUUUCUGAGUGCACUGAACCAACUCCCGAGUCUCUAGGACAUUCCUAAAAAAAUUUGAUUUUUUCCCAUAGGAAUGCAUGGGUUAGGGUUAGGGUUAGGGUUGGAGCUAGGGUUAGGGUUAGGGUUAGGGUUGGAGUUAGGGUUAGUGUUGGAGCUAGGGUUAGGGUUGGGCUUGGAGCUAGGAUUUUUCUGAGUGCACUGAACCAACUCCCGAGUCUCUAGGACAUUCCUAAAAAAAUUUGAUUUUUUCCCAUAGGAAUGCAUGGGUUAGGGUUAGGGUUAGGGUUGGAGCUAGGGUUAGGGUUAGGGUUAGGGUUGGAGUUAGGGUUAGUGUUGGAGCUAGGGUUAGGGUUGGGCUUGGAGCUAGGAUUUUUCUGAGUGCACUGAACCAACUCCCGAGUCUCUAGGACAUUCCUAAAAAAAUUUGAUUUUUUUCCCAUAGGAAUGCAUGGGUUAGGGUUAUGGUUAGGGUUAGGGUUGGAGCUAGGGUUAGGGUUAGGGUUAGGGUUGGAGUUAGGGUUAGUGUUGGAGCUAGGGUUAGGGUUGGGCUUGGAGCUAGGAUUUUUCUGAGUGCAAUGAACCAACUCCCGAGUCUCUAGGACGUUCCUAAAAAAAUUUGAUUUUUUCCCAUAGGAAUGCAUGGGUUAGGGUUAGGGUUAGGGUUGGAGCUAGGGUUAGGGUUAGGGUUAGGGUUGGAGUUAGGGUUAGUGUUGGAGCUAGGGUUAGGGUUGGGCUUGGAGCUAGGAUUUUUCUGAGUGCACUGAACCAACUCCCGAGUCUCUAGGACGUUCCUAAAAAAAUUUGAUUUUUUCCCAUAGGAAUGCAUGGGUUAGGGUUAGGGUUAGGGUUGGAGCUAGGGUUAGGGUUAGGGUUAGGGUUGGAGUUAGGGUUAGUGUUGGAGCUAGGGUUAGGGUUGGGCUUGGAGCUAGGAUUUUUCUGAGUGCACUGAACCAACUCCCGAGUCUCUAGGACAUUCCUAAAAAAAUUUGAUUUUUUCCCAUAGGAAUGCAUGGGUUAGGGUUAGGGUUAGGGUUGGAGCUAGGGUUAGGGUUAGGGUUAGGGUUGGAGUUAGGGUUAGUGUUGGAGCUAGGGUUAGGGUUGGGCUUGGAGCUAGGAUUUUUCUGAGUGCACUGAACCAACUCCCGAGUCUCUAGGACAUUCCUAAAAAAAUUUGAUUUUUUCCCAUAGGAAUGCAUGGGUUAGGGUUAUGGUUAGGGUUAGGGUUGGAGCUAGGGUUAGGGUUAGGGUUAGGGUUGGAGUUAGGGUUAGUGUUGGAGCUAGGGUUAGGGUUGGGCUUGGAGCUAGGAUUUUUCUGAGUGCACUGAACCAACUCCCGAGUCUCUAGGACAUUCCUAAAAAAAAUUUGAUUUUUUCCCAUAGGAAUGCAUGGGUUAGGGUUAUGGUUAGGGUUAGGGUUGGAGCUAGGGUUAGGGUUAGGGUUAGGGUUGGAGUUAGGGUUAGUGUUGGAGCUAGGGUUAGGGUUGGGCUUGGAGCUAGGAUUUUUCUGAGUGCAAUGAACCAACUCCCGAGUCUCUUGGACGUUCCUAAAAAAAUUUGAUUUUUUCCCAUAGGAAUGCAUGGGUUAGGGUUAGGGUUAGGGUUGGAGCUAGGGUUAGGGUUAGGGUUAGGGUUGGAGUUAGGGUUAGUGUUGGAGCUAGGGUUAGGGUUGGGCUUGGAGCUAGGAUUUUUCUGAGUGCAAUGAACCAACUCCCGAGUCUCUAGGACGUUCCUAAAAAAAUUUGAUUUUUUUCCCAUAGGAAUGCAUGGGUUAGGGUUAUGGUUAGGGUUGGAGCUAGGGUUAGGGUUAGGGUUAGGGUUGGAGUUAGGGUUAGUGUUGGAGCUAGGGUUAGGGUUGGGCUUGGAGCUAGGAUUUUUCUGAGUGCACUGAACCAACUCCCGAGUCUCUAGGACGUUCCUAAAAAAAUUUGAUUUUUUCCCAUAGGAAUGCAUGGGUUAGGGUUAGGGUUAGGGUUGGAGCUAGGGUUAGGGUUAGGGUUAGGGUUGGAGUUAGGGUUAGUGUUGGAGCUAGGGUUAGGGUUGGGCUUGGAGCUAGGAUUUUUCUGAGUGCACUGAACCAACUCCCGAGUCUCUAGGACAUUCCUAAAAAAUUUGAUUUUUUUCCCAUAGGAAUGCAUGGGUUAGGGUUAUGGUUAGGGUUAGGGUUGGAGCUAGGGUUAGGGUUAGGGUUAGGGUUGGAGUUAGGGUUAGUGUUGGAGCUAGGGUUAGGGUUGGGCUUGGAGCUAGGACUUUUCUGAGUGCAAUGAACCAA